GUCCAAACCAAAAACUAUACAAAACUGUAGCAACUAUCGGCAUCACUCAGAGCGAUCUUGAGCUCUUGCUCUGUUUCUAUAAAUUACUGUCAGGGGAGAUUUAACUUCCACGCUGUAGUGGCAUAUAACAGUCCUUUUCCUAAACACUAUAUUUUGUAUUUGUCAACUGUCUUCUCGUCCGCCAGUCUUUAUGCUUUAGCGGCAAGGAGAGCGUCUGGUAGAGGAUCACGUGAUCGCCGCCGAUCCCGUCUUCCUGGGGAGAGAACCAUAGAGACUUAAGUGUGCGCACGCUCCAUCAACAACACUGCAAAGGGAUACAUUGAAAGAAAGCGUUCAGCGCAAACUCGGCAUCUGGCUGUGAGUUGGCGUUUUAGUAUUCAGGCCUAGAAUUCUGAGAGUUAAGAGACAUAAGACAAUCAGGAACCAGAAGUCUCUGGAAAUACAUGCAGACUGGAGCCCUUCUCAUCCUAGUAAGGGAAAAGAAGUCAAAGAGGCCAUUAAAUCUGUCAUGCUACCGUCAAGGCUUAAGCAGUGAUCCCCAUUACUUUCAUGAAUUGAUUCGCCCCUGUUUCAAAGACAACCAGGUUGGUAGCCAACCCAUUAUCUCAUGGUAAAAUCCUGAUUAUCACUUAGAAUUAAAUCUGAUUGUCUAUCUUGAACAGGC
rnacentral:lncRNA from 1 species